rnacentral:rRNA from 1 species
AUUGAACGCUGGCGGCAGGCCUAACACAUGCAAGUCGAGCGGAGCGGCGGACGGGCGAGUAAUGCCUAGUAAUCUGCCUGGUAGUGGGGGAUAACGUCCGGAAACGGGCGCUAAUACCGCAUACUAUCAGAUGAGCCUAGGUCGGCUUAGAUAGUUGGUGGGGUAACGGCCUACCAAGUCGACGAUCCGUAACUGGUCUGAGAGGAUGAUCAGUCACCCGGGAACGGAGACACGGUCCAGACUCCUACGGGAGGCAGCAGUGGGGAAUAGUGGACAAUGGGCGAAAGCCUGAUCCAGCCAUGCCGCGUGUGUGAAGAAGGUCUUCGAAUUGUAAAGCACUUUAAGUUGAGAGGCGUUACCAACAGAAUAAGCACCGGCUAACUUCGUGCCAGCAGCCGCGGUAAUUC